rnacentral:rRNA from 1 species
AGAGACAGCAGUAGCCGCGGGAAUACCGAGGGUGCGAGCGUUAAUCGGAUUUACUGGGCGUAAAGCGUGCGUAGGCGGCUUCUUAAGUCGGAUGUGAAAUCCCUGAGCUUAACUUAGGAAUUGCAUUCGAUACUGGGAAGCUAGAGUAUGGGAGAGGAUGGUAGAAUUCCAGGUGUAGCGGUGAAAUGCGUAGAGAUCUGGAGGAAUACCGAUGGCGAAGGCAGCCAUCUGGCCUAAUACUGACGCUGAGGUACGAAAGCAUGGGGAGCAAACAGGAUUAGAUACCCGCGUAGUCCCUGUCUCUUAUAA